rnacentral:snRNA from 1 species
AUACAUACCUGGACGGGGUCAAUGGGCGAUCAACAAUGCUCAUGGCCUAGGUGGGUGGCCUCCAUUGCACUCAGGGGGUGCAUCAACCUAACAUCUUCCAUUGAGAAGACUGUACGUCAUAAUUUCUGGUAGCGUGGGGGCUGUGUUCGCGCGCCCCCCUG